GAUGAACGCUGGCGGCGUGCCUAAUACAUGCCAGUCGAGCGAACGGACGAGAAGCUUGCUUCUCUGAUGUUAGCGGCGGACGGGUGAGUAACACGUGGAUAACCUACCUAUAAGACUGGGAUAACUUCGGGAAACCGGAGCUAAUACCGGAUGAUAUUUUGAACCGCAUGGUUCAAAAGUGAAAGACGGCCUUGCUGUCACUUAUAGAUGGAUCCGCGCUGCAUUAGCUAGUUGGUAAGGUAACGGCUUACCAAGGCAACGAUGCAUAGCCGACCUGAGAGGGUGAUCGGCCACACUGGAACUGAGACACGGUCCAGACUCCUACGGGAGGCAGCAGUAGGGAAUCUUCCGCAAUGGGCGAAAGCCUGACGGAGCAACGCCGCGUGAGUGAUGAAGGUCUUCGGAUCGUAAAGCUCUGUUAUUAGGGAAGAACAUAUGUGUAAGUAACUGUGCACAUCUUGACGGUACCUAAUCAGAAAGCCACGGCUAACUACGUG
rnacentral:rRNA from 1 species